rnacentral:lncRNA from 1 species
GAAAAUGUGGUCUCCUAGUUGUCCAUACAAAUCAUCCAAACUCCCAUAUAAAUAGCAACCAUCACCCUCACCAGUUCUUCACACCAGCUCUGCUCUCCCUCUCUGCAUACAAUUGAAGUUAGUAAUUUCUUUCUUAUUCUCUCUUUGUUCUUUUGUUUGUUUUUCUUUUAAAUUCCUUUUUUUUCAUUUCAUUUCUUAUUUAUAUUAGCUUUGUUUCAUAGAUUCUUUCAUCUUUUCAUUAGCUAGCAUUUGUUACAUAUACAUGAGCCUUUCCAUAAAAUUCCAUGAAGAACAAAUGAUCUUAGCUAUGCAACCUAGACAAUACCUGAAAUCAUGAUCAUAUACUCCAAGAAUGAUGAAAUUCCAUUUCUCUUGUUCUGCUUUUAUUCAAGUCUUGUGAUUAGGAACAGUUGUGUCUAGAAUUUAUUUCUAAAAUUUGAUUCAAGCUGUUAAUUUCCAUACUUAAACUUAUUUUAAGAACAAACUUUCGGUCCUCUAUACUCUUGUCCAUAACUACUUGAAUGGUAUCAAACAUAUACUACAAGACUAAUAUUUAAUAUGGACACAUGGACUCAUGUUAAUCUUUCUUUACAAUAACAAAGCAAAUUUAGACCGAACUUCUUAUAGGUACAUUUUAUUUAUUAGUUAUGAGGAGUGAGUGAUUUUGUUUGAUGGUGAAUUAAGAUAUAGUUAUUGUGAUGAGUUAUUAGGUGAUGUUGGAGUUCAACGAAGUAAUUUAUCAAGAGAUUAUGGAAAGCUUCGAGGUAAGGGGAAUCACUAAUAAUAAGUUUCGAUGAGCACAAGAAAUGUGUUACUUGUAUAUUUAUAUUAUUAGUUAUAAUUAGGGGUGUUGUGUACUUUAUAGUAAUUUAAAUUCAUUAAGGUAUAUGCAAAAUGCAAAAUGAUGAGUGAUUGAUUUGGUUUGAGUUUAUGUGAAUAAAUCUUCUGCAAUGAUAUGAUUUGAAAAUGUUCAUGUGUUUGAGUGUU